UGGGGAAUAUUGCACAAUGGGCGCAAGCCUGAUGCAGCCAUGCCGAGUGUAUGAAGAAGGCCUUCGGGUUGUAAAGUACUUUCAGCGGGGAGGAAGGGAGUAAAGUUAAUACCUUUGCUCAUUGACGUUACCCGCAGAAGAAGCACCGGCUAACUCCGUGCCAGCAGCCGCGGUAAUACGGAGGGUGCAAGCGUUAAUCGGAAUUACUGGGCGUAAAGCGCACGCAGGCGGUUUGUUAAGUCAGAUGUGAAAUCCCCGGGCUCAACCUGGGAACUGCAUCUGAUACUGGCAAGCUUGAGUCUCGUAGAGGGGGGUAGAAUUCCAGGUGUAGCGGUGAAAUGCGUAGAGAUCUGGAGGAAUACCGGUGGCGAAGGCGGCCCCCUGGACGAAGACUGACGCUCAGGUGCGAAAGCGUGGGGAGCAAACAGG
rnacentral:rRNA from 1 species